GAUUGGCUACCUCCUCAUAACCAUAAGAUAAUUAAAACUUGGCGGGGGGGGGGGGCAGGGUUAAAAAAACUUUUUUUAUCAGUCAGAGGAUAAUGCAAGUGUUUAACAGAUGCUUCACUAUUAAAAUAUUUUCCCCCCAAGUCUCAAAUAUUGAAGAAUCUCUAACCAGGGACACCAGUCCCUACGAAGACCUUGGGCGAUUUUGAAGUGCGGGCACCUCGAUUCCCCGAAUCUGUAGUGUGGCUGGUAUCGGUGUUCCCCUGGUUUAACUAGCCUGUUUGAAGGCACAGAUCAUUCAUGGGGAUGUAUAACCGAAACCAGUCCUCUCCACCGCCUGGGGAUCUUCACUUUCGCAGUCUACGACUGCCUGUGACUCCAGAAAGACAAACUGCAGAUUGGCCAAGAUGGGGAAAUUGAGGCAGAGAAGCCAAGACAUGUGCUAAAGGUCAUGCAGGCUAUGAAUGGAGCUGGAAUGUGAACGCAGGCCAUAUGACCCCAGAGCCCAUGUUCUUGAACCCUUAGAAAGACAGCAGCAACACACCUGGUGCAGCAGCUGCUUAGUUGGAGUGGCUGACAAGGUUGGCAGAGGAUCCCGUUCCUCCCGUGGAGUGGCUGCCAUGAUACUGCCUGCACUGAAGCUGCUCCUAUUUCUGAAAUAUGUAUUGUUAUUUUUUUCCCUGCAUGUUGAACAUUAUACUCUUCUGUUCUUUCGCAUUCUCUUCUUCCCUUCCGGAUGACUUCUAGGGUUUUUGUGAUUCUGUAAUUCUAAAGGAGAAAGGAUAAUAAGAAUUGUGAGGCCGGGCGCGGUGGCUCAUGCCUGUAAUCACAGCACUUUGGGAGGCCAAGGUGGGCGGAUCACUAGGUGAGGAGAUGGAGACCAUCCUGGCUAACACGGUGAAACCCCGUCUCUACUAAAAAUACAAAAAAUUAGCGGGGUGUGGUGGCGGGCGCCUGUAGUCCCAGCAACUCGGGAGGCUGAGGCAGGAGAAUGGCGUGAACCCGGGAAGCGGAGCUUGCAGUGAGCCGAGAUUGCGCCACUGCACUCCAGCCUGGGCGAAGAGGGAGACUCCAUCUUAAAAAAUUAAAAAAAAAAAUUACAGAAAAUUAGCUGGGCGCGGUGGCGGGCGCCUAUAGUCCCAGCUACUCGGGAGGCUGAGGCAGG
rnacentral:lncRNA from 1 species